rnacentral:rRNA from 1 species
CCUACGGGGGACAGCAGUGAGGAAUAUUGGUCAAUGGGCGCGAGCCUGAACCAGCCAAGUAGCGUGAAGGAUGACUGCCCUACGGGUUGUAAACUUCUUUUCUAACGGAAUAAAGUGAGGCAUGUGUGCCUUUUUGUAUGUACUUUAUGAAUAAGGAUCGGCUAACUCCGUGCCAGCAGCCGCGCUAAUACGGUGGCGCCGAGUGUUAUCCGGAUUUAUUGGGUUGAAAGGGAGCGUAGAUGGGUUGUUAAGUCAGUUGUGAAAGUUUGCGGCUCAACCGUAAAAUUGCAAUUGAUACUGGCAGGCUUGAGUACAGUAGAGGUAGGCGGAAUGCGUGGUGUAGCGGUGAAAUGCUUAGAUAUCACGAAGAACUCCGAUUGCGAAGGCAGCUUACUAAACUGCGACUGACAUUGAUGCUCGAAAGUGUGGGUAUCAAACAGGAUUAGAUACCCCUGUAGUC